rnacentral:rRNA from 1 species
AAUAGAUACCCUGGUAGUCCACGCCCUAAACGAUGUCUACUAGUUGUCGGGGGGUAACUCCUUCGGUAACGCAGCUAACGCGUGAAGUAGACCGCCUGGGGAGUACGGUCGCAAGAUUAAAACUCAAAGGAAUUGACGGGGACCCGCACAAGCGGUGGAUGAUGUGGAUUAAUUCGAUGCAACGCGAAAAACCUUACCUACCCUUGACAUGCCACUAACGAAGCAAAGAUGCAUUAGGUGCCCGAAAGGGAAAGUGGACACAGGUGCUGCAUGGCUGUCGUCAGCUCGUGUCGUGAGAUGUUGGGUUAAGUCCCGCAACGAGCGCAACCCUUGCCAAUAGUUGCUACGAAAGGGCACUCUAUUGGGACUGCCGGUGACAAACCGGAGGAAGGUGGGGAUGACGUCAAGUCCUCAUGGCCCUUAUGGGUAGGGCUUCACACGUCAUACAAUGGCUGGUACAGAGGGUUGCCAACCCGCGAGGGGGGAGCCAAAUCCCACAAAACCAGUCGUAGUCCGGAUUGCAGUCUGCAACUCGACUGCA